rnacentral:tRNA from 1 species
AAAAAGAUAAGCUAAUUAAGCUACAGGGUUCAUACCCCUUUUAUAAAGGUUAUACUCCUUUUCUUUUUA